GUAGGGAAUAUUGCGCAAUGGACGAAAGUCUGACGCAGCGACGCCGCGUGAGUGAUGAAGGCCUUAGGGUCGUAAAGCUCUGUUGAAUGGGAAGAAAAAAAUGACGGUACCAUUCGAGGAAGGACCGGCUAACUUCGUGCCAGCAGCCGCGGUAAUACGAGGGGUCCUAGCGUUGUUCGGAAUCAUUGGGCGUAAAGGGUGUGUAGGUGGCCAUGUAAGUCAGGUGUGAAAACCCCGGGCUCAACCCGGGAAGUGCACUUGAUACUGCGUGGCUUGAGUACCGAAGAGGGUAGUGGAAUUCCAGGUGUAGUGGUGAAAUACGUAGAUAUCUGGAGGAACACCGGUGGCGAAGGCGGCUACCUGGUCGAGUACUGACACUGAGACACGAAAGCAUGGGGAUCAAACAGGAUUAGAUACCCCAGUAGUCC
rnacentral:rRNA from 1 species